GGAAUCUUCCACAAUGGACGAAAGUCUGAUGGAGCAACGCCGCGUGAGUGAAGAAGGUUUUCGGAUCGUAAAACUCUGUUGUAAGGGAAGAACACGUACGAGAGUAACUGCUCGUACCUUGACGGUACCUUAUUAGAAAGCCACGGCUAACUACGUGCCAGCAGCCGCGGUAAUACGUAGGUGGCAAGCGUUGUCCGGAAUUAUUGGGCGUAAAGCGCGCGCAGGCGGUCCUUUAAGUCUGAUGUGAAAGCCCACGGCUCAACCGUGGAGGGUCAUUGGAAACUGGGGGACUUGAGUACAGAAGAGGAAAGCGGAAUUCCAAGUGUAGCGGUGAAAUGCGUAGAGAUUUGGAGGAACACCGGUGGCGAAGGCGGCCCACUGGUCCGGUACUGACGCUGAGGUGCGAAAGCGUGGGGAGCAAA
rnacentral:rRNA from 1 species